UACGAAGGGGGCUAGCGUUGCUCGGAAUUACUGGGCGUAAAGCGCACGUAGGCGGCUCCUUAAGUCGGGGGUGAAAUCCUGGAGCUCAACUCCAGAACUGCCUUCGAUACUGUAGAGCUUGAGUUCGGGAGAGGUGAGUGGAACUGCGAGUGUAGAGGUGAAAUUCGUAGAUAUUCGCAAGAACACCAGUGGCGAAGGCGGCUCACUGGCCCGAUACUGACGCUGAGGUGCGAAAGCGUGGGGAGCAAACAGG
rnacentral:rRNA from 1 species